rnacentral:rRNA from 1 species
UGCGUAGGCGGCUGAUUAAGUCGGAUGUGAAAUCCCCGAGCUUAACUUAGGAAUUGCAUUCGAUACUGGUCAGCUAGAGUAUGGGAGAGGAUGGUAGAAUUCCAGGUGUAGCGGUGAAGUGCGUAGAGAUCUGGAAGAAUACCGAUGGCGAAGGCAGCCAUCUGGCCUAAUACUGACGCUGAGGUACGAAAGCAUGGGGAGCAAACA